rnacentral:rRNA from 1 species
GUACACGCUGUGACUAGCAUAUCAAUAAGCGGAGGAAAAGAAACUAACAAGGAUUCCCCUAGUAACGGCGAGUGAAGCGGGAAGAGCUCAAAUUUGAAAUCUUAAAGGGUUUCCCUUUACGAAUUGUAGUUUAAAGAAGUGUUUUCUGUUGAGGUUUUGGUAAAAGUUCUUUGGAAUAGGACAUCAUAGAGGGUGAGAAUCCCGUAUUUGACCUUUACUUUCAACUUUGUGAUACACUUUCAAAGAGUCGGAUUGUUUGGGAAUGCAGUCCAAAAUGGGUGGUAAAUUUCAUCUAGAGCUAAAUAUUGGCGAGAGACCGAUAGCGAACAAGUACCGUGAGGGAAAGAUGAAAAGAACUUUGAAAAGAGAGUUAAACAGUACGUGAAAUUGCUCAAAAGGGAAGCGUUUGACACCAGUGUUGUUUUUCUGAAAAUCAAUUAAAGAACUGUUUAUGCUAAGUUGUUUAGACUUUAUCAGCUAACUGUUUAGUUUUGAGCUUUUCUUUAAUGCACUUUUCAGUUAACAAGUCAACAUCAAUUUCUUUUGCUGUAAAAAAGCUUGAGGAAGGUGGCUUGAGAUUCGUCUUAAGUGUUUAUAGCCUCUUGCCUAUGCAGUCGGAGAGAUUGAGGUCUGCAGCGUAGAUCCUUCGGGGCUAAAUGCAUUUGUGCUAAGUUAUAGCAUUUUAUAGACAACUUGUUGACUAUGAUUUGUCUUGUAGCUUACUCGCUUAUGUUAUUUUACCUACGCUUAGGAUGUUGACAGCAGUAUAGACUGU